AGGAACAGCCACAGUGGCGGCGGCCAGCUCUGGAGCCCUGGAUUCAGCUCUGGCAGUAACUCCGGAGCUCUCAGCCUGCUGAGGUGGAUGUUCUGGGGGCGG
rnacentral:pre_miRNA from 1 species